AUUGAACGCUGGCGGCAGGCCUAACACAUGCAAGUCGAGCGAGCGGCGGACGGGGGAGUAAUGUACGGGGACCGCCCGAUCGAGGGGGAUAACUACGGGAUACGGUGACUAAUAUCGUAUACUUGCGGAUAACCCAUAUGGGAUUAGCUAGUGGGUAAGGUAAUGGCUUCCCUAGGCGACGAUGCCUAGCUGGUCUGAGAGGAUGAUCAGCCACACUGGGACUGAGACACGGCCCAGACUCCUACGGAGGCAGCAGUGGGGAAUAUUGCACAAUGGGCGCAAGCCUGAUGCAGCCAUGCCGCGUGUAUGAAGAAGGCCCUAGGGUUGUAAAGUACUUUCAGUCGGGAGGCGUUACCGACAGAAGAAGCACCGGCUAACUCCGUGCCAGCCGCCGCGGUAAUUC
rnacentral:rRNA from 1 species